UCUACAGCCAACAGUCAGCACGAACAGAAUUACAGAUUAAGGUGAGUUACUUUCACCAAGGAGCAGAGGAGAAAAGGAGAGGAGAAGUGUGGAGGUUAUGGAGACAGAAGGAAAGGAGGCUGGGCAUCAGGAUGUCUACGAAAGGCAUCAGGAUGGUGUCCCACUGGAAACAAUGUCCAUCAGACAACAGGCGAACGCCCACAAAAAGUUUCAGCCCAAGGAACAGGAGAUGAGAGAUACCUACGAAAGCCUCGUAAGCGCUUUCAUGGCUCACUUAGAGGCCCAUAGCGGGCACUGUGAGGUCACCGCCCAGGACACACUGCCACGAUUCACUUCGGAUCAACAUACCCAUUAUCAAAUGGGUGGAAACAUCCAGAAGGGAAAUCAUCUGGUUAUGGAGUUUUUUAAUGGGAAGAGCUUGCAAGGUUACUCCAGAGCGAAGGUGGAGAGCGACCCCUUCAUGAGGAUGGAGAUGAACAAGUGGAGAGCAGAGAUAGAGAGAAAGAGGGAGAUGGAGAGAGAAAGAAUGGAGCUGGAGAGAAAAGCGAAGAAGGUGGACAGACAGGAGAAGGAAGUGAAACUAAUGAGAGAUGAGAUUCUAAGAAAGGAGGAAGUGGUGAGGAGGAGAGCAGCGAUGGAGAGGGAGAGACAGGCGAUAGAGAGAAACAGACAGGAGAUUGAGAAAGUGAGAGUGGAGGCAAAGCAAAAAAGAGAGACACAGGAAAAAAUGAUAGAGCAGAUGGAGAGAACGUUAGCAGAGAUCGUGAGAAUAUGGAGGGAUAAGGAGCUCCCAAUGGACCAAAAGAAAAAGCAAACAAAAAAUGAAAAGGAACAUGCAUGGCUUUUGGAGAGGAGGAGUGCAGAGAUGGAAAGAUACAAAGAAAUGGAGAGGGAGAGACAGACAAUAGAGAGAAGACAGAAUAUUGAGAAAGUGAGAGUCGAGACAGAGCAAAAAAAAGAAGAACAGGAAAGAAGGAUAGAGAUGGAGAGAGCUAAAGCAGAGAUGGUGAGAAAGAGAGAGGAGAUUAAGAAUGUGAGAGUGGAGACAGAGCAAAAAAGACAAGAACAGGAAAAAAGGAUGGAGGAGAUGAUGAUAGCAGAGAUGGUGAGAAAGAAACAGAUGAAGCAAAAAAGUGAGGAAGUAAAAAUGGAAAUACACAAAGAAAUGGAGAAGGAGAGACAUGAAGACAAGAGGCAAAAAGGAAAGGAGAGACAAGAGGGUGGUGAUAAUUCAGGAAAAGAAGAGAAGGAGAAGAAGGAGGGUGAGAAAGUGAAAGAGCCACAAACGAGAGAUGAGAGGAACACAGAUAUGCUGCGGAAAAUAGAGGAGGAGACCUCCCACCUGUGGAAGUCCAUGGGACUAUCCUUUGAAGACACUGAGGAUGGAUCAGAAGAAGACUGGAAGGAAACUGAGGAGGCCAGUGUAGACCAAGACUUGCUCUUCCUGAAGGACAAAGGAAAGACUGAAAUAAAUAGUGGAAAAAAAAGGAGAUUGCAAGAGGAGAACAGAUCAAGACAGCUAGAAGUGGAGAGACAGAGAGAAAUGAAAACUGUGAAAGAAAAGGAGAGCAAGAGGAAAACCAUGAUGGAAAAACUGAAAGAGGACGAAGGGAGGAAGAGAGGGAUGGAAGCAGAAAUGGAGAGAAAGGAGCAGGAGGAGAGGCUGAGAGAAAAAGAAAGGGCCAAACUAAGAGAAGAGGAGAGAAAGAAAAAAGAGAUGCAAGAGAAGACAAUGAGAGAGCUGGAGCAGAUAACACAAAGAGAGAUGGAGGAAAAGGGGAAGAUGGACCAAAAGAAAAGGCGGACAAAAAAUGAAAAGGAACAUGCAUGGCUACAGGAAAAACACAACAAAGAGAAGGAGGAUGAGAAUCCUUGUAACAGGGAUUGCAGUGACUCCAAGACUGUGACUAAUUCAAAUAGUUUGUGGAUGCAUGAGGCCAAGAGCCCAAAGCUGUCAGUCAACAAUGUAUGGACGAUCCAGCAAUGUGAUAAUACAGAGACUGAUAAUGUCAAACAAGGUCAUUCUGAGGUAGGAGACACACUUGUGAUGACACUCAGUAAUGAUGAUAUGAAUACAUGGACCCAGCUAAAGGCAAAAACAGAUGAAGAGGACGCACAGAGAGAGAAACAGAGGCAGAUGGAGGAAAAGAGGAUGAGAGAGGAGGACAGUGGAGAAAAGAAAGAAGAGAGAACACAGAGAGAGAUGGUAGCACAGACAGAAAACAAGACACCCAGGAUGAGCAGAGAAUUAGAAAUCGGCCAAAAGAUAGAGGAGGAGAAAGUAGCACAGCAGGAGCAAAAAGAGGACGAGAGGAGAAAGAUAGAGAUUGAGGAGGAGAAGGCAAGAGAGGAGAGAAAAGUGAGAGAAAGGGAGGAGAUGAGAAAGACUGAAGAGGUGACGAACAGGAGGGUGGAGGCUCUGUCAGGAGACAGCGAUGACAGCGACGGGGCGACUGACUCCGAUGACUUGUGGGAGGAUGAGUUGGAGAGACAGGAAACACAGAGAAAGAGAAAGGAGAUUGAGAAAGUGAGAGUUGAGACAGAGCGAAAAAAAGAACAGGAAAAAAGGAUGGAAGAGAAGAUGAUAGUAGAGAUGGUGAGAAAGAAAGAGGAGAUGGAGAGAGCAGCACAGAAGGAGCAAAAAGUGGACGAGAGGAGAAAGAUAGAGAUUGACGAGGAGAAAGCAAGAGAGGAGGAGAGAAAAGUGAGAGAAAGGGAGGAGAUGAGAAAGACUAAAGAGGUGACGAACAGGAAGGGGGAGGCUCUGUCAGGAGACAGCGAUGACAGCGACGGGGCGACUGACUCCGAUGACUUGUGGGAGGAUGAGUUGGAGAGACAGGAAACACAGAGAAAGAGAAAGGAGAUUGAGAAAGUGAGAGUUGAGACAAAGCGAAAAAGAGAACAGGAAAAAAGGAUGGAAGACAUGGAGAUAACUAAAGCAGAGAUGGUGAGAAAGAAAGAAGAGGAUAGGCUGAGAGAAAAAGAAAGGGCCAAACUAAGAGAAGAGGAGAGAAAGAAAAAAGAAAUGCAAGAGAAGACAAUGAGAGAGCUGGAGCAGAUAAGACGAAGAGAGAGGGAGGAGAAGGGGAAGAAAGCCAAAGUGGCCAAGAAAUUGCCCCAGGCACAUAACAGCGAUGUCAUUGACAUAGAGAGCUUGAGUGAUGAAGAUAUGUGGAAGGAUGAGGAGCUCCCAAUGGACCAAAAGAAAAGGCGGACAAAAAAUGAAAAGGAACAUGCAUGGCGACAGGGAAAACACAACAAAGAGAAGGAGGAUGAGAAUCCUUGUAACAGGGAUUGCAGUGACUCCAAGACUGUGACUAAUUCAAAUAGUUUGUGGAUGCAUGAGGCCAAGAGCCCAAAGCUGUCAGUCAACAAUGUAUGGACGAUCCAGCAAUGUGAUAAUACAGAGACUGAUAAUGUCAAACAAGGUCAUUCUGAGGUAGGAGACACACUUGUGAUGACACUCAGUAAUGAUGAUAUGAAUACAUGGACCCAGCUAAAGGCAAAAACAGAUGAAGAGGACGCACAGAGAGAGAAACAGAGGCAGAUGGAGGAAAAGAGGAUGAGAGAGGAGGACAGUGGAGGAAAGAAAGAAGAGAGAACACAGAGAGAGAUGGUAGCACAGACAGAAAACAAGACACCCAGGAUGAGCAGAGAAUUAGAAAUCGCCCAAAAGUUAGAGGUGGAGAAAGCAGCACAGCAGGAGCAAAAAGAGGACGAGAGGAGAAAGAUAGAGAUUGACGAGGAGAAAGCAAGAGAGGAGGAGAGAAAAGUGAGAGAAAGGGAGGAGAUGAGAAAGACUAAAGAGGUGACGAACAGGAAGGGGGAGGCUCUGUCAGGAGACAGCGAUGACAGCGACGGGGCGACUGACUCCGAUGACUUGUGGGAGGAUGAGUUGGAGAGACAGGAAACACAGAGAAAGAGAAAGGAGAUUGAGAAAGUGAGAGUUGAGACAAAGCGAAAAAGAGAACAGGAAAAAAGGAUGGAAGACAUGGAGAUAACUAAAGCAGAGAUGGUGAGAAAGAAAGAAGAGGAUAGGCUGAGAGAAAAAGAAAGGGCCAAACUAAGAGAAGAGGAGAGAAAGAAAAAAGAAAUGCAAGAGAAGACAAUGAGAGAGCUGGAGCAGAUAAGACGAAGAGAGAGGGAGGAGAAGGGGAAGAAAGCCAAAGUGGCCAAGAAAUUGCCCCAGGCACAUAACAGCGAUGUCAUUGACAUAGAGAGCUUGAGUGAUGAAGAUAUGUGGAAGGAUGAGGAGCUCCCAAUGGACCAAAAGAAAAGGCGGACAAAAAAUGAAAAGGAACAUGCAUGGCGACAGGGAAAACACAACAAAGAGAAGGAGGAUGAGAAUCCUUGUAACAGGGAUUGCAGUGACUCCAAGACUGUGACUAAUUCAAAUAGUUUGUGGAUGCAUGAGGCCAAGAGCCCAAAGCUGUCAGUCAACAAUGUUUGGACGAUCCAGCAAUGUGAUAAUACAGAGACUGAUAAUGUCAAACAAGGUCAUUCUGAGGUAGGAGACACACUUGUGAUGACACUCAGUAAUGAUGAUAUGAAUACAUGGACCCAGCUAAAGGCAAAAACAGAUGAAGAGGAUGCACAGAGAGAGAAACAGAGGCAGAUGGAGGAAAAGAGGAUGAGAGAGGAGGACAGUGGAGGAAAGAAAGAAGAGAGAACACAGAGAGAGAUGGUAGCACAGACAGAAAACAAGACACCCAGGAUGAGCAGAGAAUUAGAAAUCGCCCAAAAGAUAGAGGAAAGAAAAAAAAAAGAGAUGGAGAAAGCAGCACAGCAGGAGCAAAAAGAGGACGAGAGGAGAAAGAUAGAGAUUGACGAGGAGAAGGCAAGAGAGGAGAGAAAAGUGAGAGAAAGGGAGGAGAUGAGAAAGACUGAAGAGGUGAUGAACAGGAGGGUGGAGGCUCUAUCAAGAGACAGCGAUGACAGCGACGGGGCAACUGACUCCGAUGACUUGUGGGAGGAUGAGUUGGAGAGACAGGAAACCGAGAGAAAGAGAAAGGAGAUUGAGAAAGUGAGAGUUGAGACCGAGCGAAAAAGAGAACAGGAAAAAAGGAUGGAGAAGAUGGAGAUAACUAAAGCAGUGAUGGAGAGAAAGGAACAGGAGGGGAGGCUGAGAGAAAAAGAAAGGGCCAAACUAAGAGAAGAGGAGAUAAAGAAAAAAGAGAUGCAAGAGAAGACAAAGAGAGAGCUGGAGAAGGGGAAAAAAGCCAAAGUGGCCAAGAAAUUGCCCCAGGCACAUAACAGCGAUGACAUUGACAUAGAGAGCUUGAGUGAUGAAGAUAUGUGGAAGGAUGAGGAGCUCCCAAUGGACCAAAAGAAAAGGCAGGAGGAGAAGGCAAGAGAGGAGGAGAGAAAAGUGAGAGAAAGAGAGGAGAUGAGAAAGAUUGCAGAGGAGAUGGAAAGAAGGUGGAAGGCUAUACCAGGAUACAGCGAUGACAGGGACGGGGAGACUGCCUCCGAUGACUUGUGGAUGGAUGAGGUGGAGAAGAGGCGGCAAGUGGAGGUCAGAAACCCCCAAGACAAACCUCAGGAAGAGGGGGAGAGAGGACACACCCAGCCUGGAAGUGCCCAAGUAAACGUAGAGCAGAAAAAGAAAGGACCAUCUGUGUUGAAGUGGGUGAAGAAGAGACUGAGUUUUGGGACCACAAAAGUGAAACAGAUGCGUAUAGCAAUUAUACCUGUGUGUGUGUCUACUCCGUUACAGUGAUAUGGACACACAAAGACACAUAUGGACAAUGAAUGGGAAGGAACGGAAUCAGAGUUUCCAUAAAUCUGUCACAUCCAUAUCAUCUUCCCAUCUCACAUCCUACAUAUCAUCUUCCUAUCUCAGUGGACAGGAAAAUAAAACAUUUUGGAGAAACACACACACAUGCAUGCAAUACAAU
ensembl:lncRNA